UACAGAGGUCUCAAGCGUUGUUCGGAUUCAUUGGGCGUUAAAGGGUGCGUAGGCGGCGCGGUAAGUCGGGUGUGAAAUCUCGGAGCUUAACUCCGAAACUGCAUUCGAUACUGCCGUGCUUGAGGACUGGAGAGGAGACUGGAAUUUACGGUGUAGCGGUGAAAUGCGUAGGAUAUCGUAAGGAAGACCAGUGGCGAAGGCGGGUCUCUGGACAGGUUCCUGACGCUGAGGCACGAAGGCCAGGGGAGCAAA
rnacentral:rRNA from 1 species